rnacentral:rRNA from 1 species
AGCGGAGGAAAGGAAACCACCCGGGAUUGCCUUAGUAACGGCGAGUGAAGCGGCAAAAGCUCAAAUUUGAAAUCUGGUACCUUCGGUGCCCGAGUUGUAAUUUGGAGAGGGCAACUUUGGGGCCGUUCCUCGUCUAUGUUCCUUGGAACAGGACGUCAUAGAGGGUGAGAAUCCCGUGUGGCGAGGAGUGCGGUUCUUUGUAAAGUGCCUUCGAAGAGUCGAGUUGUUUGGGAAUGCAGCUCUAAGUGGGUGGUAAAUUCCAUCUAAAGCUAAAUAUUGGCGAGAGACCGAUAGCGAACAAGUACAGUGAUGGAAAGAUGAAAAGAACUUUGAAAAGAGAGUGAAAAAGUACGUGAAAUUGUUGAAAGGGAAGGGCAUUUGAUCAGACAUGGUGUUUUGUGCCCUCUGCUCCUUGUGGGUAGGGGAAUCUCGCAUUUCAGCUGGGCCAGCAUCAGUUUUGGUGGCAGGAUAAAUCCACUAGGAAUGCUAGCUUCGCCUCGGUAACGUAUUAUACGCCGCUGUGGGAAAAGUUGUCCAGCUGGGACUUGGCAC